GACGAACGCUGGCGGCGUGCUUAACACAUGCAAGUCGAACGGAAAGGCCCUGCUUUUGUGGGGUGCUCGAGUGGCGAACGGGUGGGUAACACGUGAGUAACCUGCCCUUCACUUUGGGAUAACUUCAGGAAACUGGGGCUAAUACCGGAUAGGAGCUCCUGCUGGAUGGUAGGGGGUGGAAAUUUUCGGCGGUUGGGGAUGGACUCGCGGGUUAUCAGCUUGUUGGUGGGGUGGUGGCUUACCAAGGCUGUGACGGGUAGCCGGCCUGAGAGGGUGACCGGCCACAUUGGGACUGAGGUACGGCCCAGACUCCUACGGGAGGCAGCAGUGGGGAAUAUUGCACAAUGGGCGGAAGCCUGAUGCAGCAACGCCGCGUGCGGGAUGACGGCCUUCGGGUUGUAAACCGCUUUCGCCUGUGACGAAGCGUGAGUGACGGUAAUGGGUAAAGAAGCACCGGCUAACUACGUG
rnacentral:rRNA from 1 species